rnacentral:rRNA from 1 species
UACGUAGGGACCGAGCGUUGUCCGGAAUCAUUGGGCGUAAAGAGCGUGUAGGCGGCCAUUUAAGUCCUGCGUGAAAUCCUGCGGCUCAACCGCAGGCGGUCGUGGGAAACUGGAUGGCUAGAGUGCGGGAGAGGAGAGUGGAAUUCCUGGUGUAGCGGUGGAAUGCGCAGAUAUCGAGAGGAACACCAGUGGCGAAGGCGAGUCCCUGGACAGGUCCUGACGCUGAGGCACGAAAGCUAGGGGAGCAAACAGG